GCUGCAAGCCUUGUUGAACGGUCCCUGCCCAUGGAAGAGGGGUUGGAACUGGAUGAUCUUUAAGGUCCUCUCCAACCAAGAUCAUUCUAUCAUUCUAUGUCCAGCCCUGCAAGGGACCCUACUCUGGGGCUGCACACACAGAACCCUCUAUUGCAGACAAGGAAACCAUGACUGCGAAAAAAAAAGUGCUCACCAAAAAUGAAAUAAUUGGGACAACCUGAUUUUUUUUCUUUUUUUUUUUGUUUUUGAGGCUGCAGAGCUUUGCUGUGGUGACUGGCAGGGGAGGUUUGCUGAGGGAUGCAGAGAGGAAAUCAACAGGGAAGUCUUGCCUCAUUCAUCUGUCUCAUUGUGUUGCAUUCUCUACAACUCCCCGAAAGGAGGUUGCACUGAGGCAGAUGUUGGUCUCUUCUACCAAAGUUCGUUAUAUUGGGAGUGGGUGUGGUGUGGUGUUGACACUGCAAGCAUGAAGAAGAGGUUCUUUCACCUCAAAGGAAGGAACGUGUUGGCUGGAGGACCAUCGUACCCACCUUCACCUAGACUGGAUGAGCCCAAGCUUCAGUCAUUGUAGUGGCUUAUCCACAGCUGCGAUGCAGCCCCAUGGUCUUUUUCCCAUUCCCUGACCCCACCAGCACAUUGGACCACUUAGCUCAGACACUGCGGCAGAAAAAGGCUUCAGCUUGCAUCCUCUCCCAGCAAAAUAUUUGACUGUGCUAUGGUCUUAUAGCGGGAAAAAUCCUUGGCAGGAUAUCUUCCAUCCUCUGCCCCAUGGAAAAAAUAACAUGAGCCCUUUCUAGAGGGCCAUUCACCCAUCUUGUCCCUCCAGAUCUCUGCAGACAGCUGCACACCUGCUCACCACAGCCUUUCCCAGACUUAUCCUUCACUGCCUGACAGCGUUCCCUUAACGUGUAACUUAAACCUUCCUUACUGUGAUUCAAGCCCUCUUCUUGUUAUAGAAUCACAGAAUGGUUUGGGUUGGAAGAGGUCUUUAAAGGUCAUCUAGUCCAACUCCCCUGCAAUGAGCAGGGAGCAUCCUCAGCUAGAUGCUAUCCACCAGGGACAUGGGGAACAGAUUUUCCCCUUCUUUUUUCUCAGCAUAUUUAAAGCUGACAGCGCUGUAAACUGGGAUGCAGCUGCCGUAUUAAUUACCCACCUGACACAGAGCUUCCACUAAAACAUGCAUCAACUGCUGUAUGUUAUUAUUGUCAUUUAACUUGACAUGUACAACUAAUUAGGCAUUGCCUUCUACAACAGACGAGGCCACUCCUGUGGGUGUAGGUAUUUGGAAACCAGAAACCCUUAAUGCUGCAUCUUUCUGGUGGAAAAUAUCACCACAAGCCACCGUGUUUUCUUUCCUGUAUUUGAAAACCACCCACAUUUUCAGUAAGAAAAAAAAAUAAUUAAACUGAUGGAGCAUUUUGCCUGGGCAAUGGGCCUUUCUGAAGAGUUGCAUUCUCAAAAUAUUUGUUCUCUGUUGUUUGGUCUUUAGGGAUGAUAAUUUGCCAUUUAUUUUUAAUUUCAAAGACGUACGGGGAAAAAAUAACUAGGGGAUACAUUUAGUAACUGCUGCAAUAGAAGGCAAAACAUUCCUGUUUGUUUUAAAUUAAUUGCAACUCAGUUAAUGAGUCCAUGAAUUUGAAAAAUAAAGAAGAAAAUAUAGCAGGUUAGGUGGUUUUUACUGUUAAAAUAAUGCUAAAAUUGGGCCUUUUCUUUUUCUUUUCCUACCAAAAGAUUUGCAUUUCUGCUCAAACUGUACACUGUGUGUUAACAUGAUGUUUGUAUUCCAGUCUCUUGUAGUAAGAAAGGACAUUAAAAAAGGGUUUGGAAAGGACCACAGAGGUCACUUCAUCUCUUCUACUAUAUGAUGGGUCCAUCACUCCCCAAGCCACACAUUCCUGAGAGAUGUCUGUCUGCUCUGCUCUCAUACACUUCCAGCUUGGGAGCUCCCCAGCUUCUGCAUGAGAAGACAGGAAAUGAAGUGAACAAAUCAAACCACUUGCAACAUACCGUGUGACGGUGCAUAUCUCCCAGCCUUCACCAGAAAAGUUUGAGUAAUUAUGGGACAAUCUUUCUAUAGAGUCCACUUCCUUGGAAAUCUUUGACUGGAGAUAAAUACUGUCCUUUUCAAGCUAUAAAGAAAAAUAAAUUAAUUGUGAUGCUGGUCUUACUGCUUACUCCCUCCAGGAGCUGUUAGUAUCAUACCAAGGACAA